rnacentral:rRNA from 1 species
AUACGGAGGAUCCGAGCGUUAUCCGGAUUUAUUGGGUUUAAAGGGUGCGCAGGCGGGAGAUUAAGUCGGCGGUGAAAUUUUGCAGCUCAAAUGUAAAAGUGCCUUCGAAACUGGUUUCCUUGAGUGUAGAUGAAGUAGGCGGAAUUUGUGGGGUAGCGGUGAAAUGCAUAGAUAUCAAGAGGAACUCCGAUUGCGCAGGCAGCUUACUAAACUACUACUGACGCUCAGGCACGAAGGCGUGGGGAUCAAACAGGAUUAGAUACCCUGGUAGUCCACGCAGUAAACGAUGAUUACUAGCUGUUUGCGAUACAAUGUAAGCGGCUGAGCGAAAGCGUUAAGUAAUCCACCUGGGGAGUACGUUCGCAAGAAUGAAACUCAAAGUAAUUGACGGGG